rnacentral:rRNA from 1 species
ACGGGAGGCAGCAGUGGGGAAUACUGGGCAAUGGGCGAAAGCCUGACCCAGCAACGCCGCGUGAAGGAAGAAGGUCUUCGGAUUGUAAACUUUUGUCUUAUGGGACGAUAAUGACGGUACCAUAGGAGGAAGCCACGACUAACUACGUGCCAGCAGUCGCGGUAAUACGUAGGUGGCGAGCGUUAUCCGGAAUUAUUGGGUGUAAAGGGUGCGUAGGCGGGGCAUAAAGUCAGAUGUGAAAUGCGAGGGCUCAACCCUCGAACUGCAUUUGAAACUUAUGCUCUUGAGUGGAGUAGAGGCAAGCGCAAUUCCCGGUGUAGCGGUGAAAUGCAUAGAUAUCGGGAGGAACACCAGUGGCGAAGGCGGCUUGCUGGGCUUUUACUGACGCUGAGGCACGAGAGUGUGGGGAGCAAACAGGAUUAGAUACCCUGGUA